CCUACGGGAGGCAGCAGUGGGGAAUAUUGCACAAUGGGGGAAACCCUGAUGCAGCGACGCCGCGUGAAGGAAGAAGUAUUUCGGUAUGUAAACUUCUAUCAGCAGGGAAGAAAAUGACGGUACCUGACUAAGAAGCCCCGGCUAACUACGUGCCAGCAGCCGCGGUAAUACGUAGGGGGCAAGCUUUAUCCGGAUUUACUGGGUGUAAAGGGAGCGUAGGCGGCGAUGCAAGUCAGAAGUGAAAGCCCGGGGCCCAAGUCCGGGACUGCUUUUGAAACUGUGUUGCUAGAUUGCAGGAGAGGUGAGUGGAAUUCCUAGUGUAGCGGUGAAAUGCGUAGAUAUUAGGAGGAACACCAGUUGCGAAGGCGGCUUACUGGACUGUAAAUGACGCUGAGGCUCGAGAGCGUGGGGAGCAAACAGGAUUAGAUACCCGGGUAGUC
rnacentral:rRNA from 1 species